rnacentral:rRNA from 1 species
GCCUACGGGGCGCAGCAGUGAGGAAUAUUGGUCAAUGGUCGGGAGACUGAACCAGCCAAGCCGCGUGAGGGAUGAAGGUACAGAGUAUCGUAAACCUCUUUUGUCAGGGAACAAAGGCGGGGACGUGUCCCCGGAUGAGUGUACCUGAAGAAAAAGCAUCGGCUAACUCCGUGCCAGCAGCCGCGGUAAUACGGAGGAUGCGAGCGUUAUCCGGGUUUAUUGGGUUUAAAGGGUGCGCAGGCGGUCUGUUAAGUCAGCGGUCGACGUCCGGGGCUCAACCCCGGCCCGCCGUUGAAACUGGCAGU